rnacentral:rRNA from 1 species
CCUACGGGAGGCAGCAGUGAGGAAUAUUGGUCAAUGGACGAGAGUCUGAACCAGCCAAGUAGCGUGAAGGAUGACUGCCCUAUGGGUUGUAAACUUCUUUUAUAUGGGAAUAAAACGUUCCACGUGUGGGCUUUUGUAUGUACCAUAUGAAUAAGGAUCGGCUAACUCCGUGCCAGCAGCCGCGGUAAUACGGAGGAUCCGAGCGUUAUCCGGAUUUAUUGGGUUUAAAGGGAGCGUAGGUGGAUUGUUAAGUCAGUUGUGAAAUUUUGGGGCUCAACCGGGAAAUUGCAGUUGAAACUGGCAGUCUGGAGUACGGUAGAGGUGGGCGGAAUUCGAGGUGUAGCGGUGAAAUGCUUAGAGAUGACGAAGAACUCCGAUUGCGAAGGCAGUUCACUGGACUGCAACUGACACUGAGGUUCGAAAGUGUGGGUAUCAAACAGGAUUAGAUACCCCUGUAGUC